CGUAGGUGGCGAGCGUUGUCCGGAAUUACUGGGUGUAAAGGGCGUGUAGGCGGGAUUGUAAGUCAGAUGUGAAAUUCCACGGCUUAACUGUGGGGCUGCAUCUGAAACUACAAUUCUUGAGUGCUGGAGAGGAAAGCGGAAUUCCUAGUGUAGCGGUGAAAUGCGUAGAUAUUAGGAGGAACACCAGUGGCGAAGGCGGCUUUCUGGACAGUAACUGACGCUGAGGCGCGAAAGCGUGGGGAGCAAACAGGAUUAGAUACCCUGGUAGUCCACGCUGUAAACGAUGGAUACUAGGUGUAGGAGGUAUCGACCCCUUCUGUGCCGGAGUUAACACAAUAAGUAUCCCACCUGGGGAGUACGGCCGCAAGGUUG
rnacentral:rRNA from 1 species